rnacentral:rRNA from 1 species
AUUGAACGCUGGCGGCAUGCCUUACACAUGCAAGUCGAACGGUAACGCGGGCUUCGGCCUGGCGACGAGUGGCGAACGGGUGAGUAACAUAUCGGAACGUGCCCUGGCGUGGGGGAUAACUAGUCGAAAGACUAGCUAAUACCGCAUACGAUCCUAGGCUGAAAGUGGGGGACCGCCAGGCCUCAUGCUCGUGGCGCGGCCGAUAUCUGAUUAGCUAGUUGGUGGGGGAAAGGCCUACCAAGGCGACGAUCAGUAGCUGGUCUGAGAGGACGACCAGCCACACUGGGACUGAGACACGGCCCAGACUCCUACGGGAGGCAGCAGUGGGGAAUUUUGGACAAUGGGGGCAACCCUGAUCCAGCAAUGCCGCGUGAGUGAAGAAGGCCUUCGGGUUGUAAAGCUCUUUUGUCCGGAAAGAAAUCCCCCGGGAUAAUACCCUGGGGGGAUGACGGUACCGGAAGAAUAAGCACCGGCUAACUAUGUGCCAGCCGCCGCAGUAAUAC